CCUACGUGAGGCAGCAGUGAGGAAUAUUGGUCAAUGGGCGCGAGCCUGAACCAGCCAAGUAGCGUGAAGGAUGACUGCCCUACGGGUUGUAAACUUCUUUUAUAAAGGAAUAAAGUGAGGCACGUGUGCCUUUUUGUAUGUACUUUAUGAAUAAGGAUCGGCUAACUCCGUGCCAGCAGCCGCGGUAAUACGGAGGAUCCGAGCGUUAUCCGGAUUUAUUGGGUUUAAAGGGAGCGUAGAUGGGUUGUUAAGUCAGUUGUGAAAGUUUGCGGCUCAACCGUAAAAUUGCAAUUGAUACUGGCAGUCUUGAGUACAGUUGAGGGAGGCGGAAUUCGUGGUGUAGCGGUGAAAUGCUUAGAUAUCACGAAGAACUCCGAUUGCGAAGGCAGCUUACUAAACUGCCACUGACAUUGAUGCUCGAAAGUGUGGGUAUCAAACAGGAUUAGAUACCCUUGUAGUC
rnacentral:rRNA from 1 species